rnacentral:rRNA from 1 species
GUGGGGAAUAUUCCGCAAUGGACGAAAGUCUGACGGAGCAACGCCGCGUGAGUGAUGAAGGUUUUCGGACUGUAAAGCUCUGUUGUUUGGGACGAAAGUGCCUGUUGCGAACAGUUACGGGUAUUGACGGUACUAAACGAGGAAGCCACGGCUAACUACGUGCCAGCAGCCGCGGUAAUACGUAGGUGGCAAGCGUUGUCCGGAAUUAUUGGGCGUAAAGAGCAUGUAGGCGGGAAUCUAAGUCUGUUGUUAAAAUGCGGGGCUCAACCCCGUAUUGCGAUGGAAACUGGGUUUCUUGAGUGCAGGAGAGGAAAGGGGAAUUCCCAGUGUAGCGGUGAAAUGCGUAGAUAUUGGGAGGAACACCAGUGGCGAAGGCGCCUUUCUGGACUGUGUCUGACGCUGGGAUGCGAAAGCCAGGGUAGCGAACGGGAUUAGAAACCCGGGUAGUCC